ensembl:antisense 4930526L06Rik RIKEN cDNA 4930526L06 gene
ACUUCGAUCCUCUUCUGGAGUUUCUAGUAAUGGCUUCCCUGGACAUGGCUGGAACACUGCCUCUUCAGGGAUGCUUCUCCUAAGAUAGAAUGGCCGCAGAGACCUGAUCGUUUACCACACAUUUCAGAAGGUUUCAAGUUGUAAAAAGUUCCAAGAUGCCUUCCGGACUCGAACCCAGACAUGAGAGCCGCAGGCCAGCCCCAACAAUUUGGUGAACCAAUGCAGAACCUGGGAAUGGCAGAGGACAUUUGGAAGAAGCACUGCUGGUUUGUAGCUCCACGGAAGAAGAAAAGAAUUAAAGAAAAUUCGUUCCUGGAAAAGGUCAGUCAACGUCCUUCAUCCUGACUGCAGUGGGUGUACAUCCCCGCCCCCAACACUGGGCAGGUGGCAGUUAAUUUUCAUCAAGAAGAAUUCUAAGUACAUAUUGUAGCUUUGAUCUGAAUUGAGAGUAAGGUGUGCUAAUGAGGGCCUGACAGUCAAUGACGGGCACCCAGAUCUCGGAAUCAUACCAAUCUAAGACAGGGGUACAUGCCAAGAUGCCGUGGCUGUUAAUACACCUCAGAGCCAUGUUUUGUGUAAAAUAAUACAAACUAGCUGCAUGUAACUUUCUAUGAUGGAUAAGGGUGAUUCAGGAAGAUCUAAGAUUUCCUAAGACAGAUGGGGCAGCCAGCCACCAUAACUCCUGGGCGGGACUAUGGAGCAUAAAUAAAUUUUAUGCCUCAGUCCAGCUUUUUAAAAACAUUAAUAAUAGGGAGGAGAUGUAGCCUCCCACAAGCCUGAAGCAGGCUGAGCCAGAAGUUGACCUUGCUGCCACUGAGGAGAUUAUCUAGGGUGGAGCCUUCCCCCCUGGAUCACUCUAUUGUUCUGCCACUGCUGCUGCUGCUACCUGCUGGGAGUCUGAUUAGCUGUUCCGGAGCCUACACGUGGUCACCUGCAGCUGGGCUCCAAGGAUGAUUUGGUGGGAAUGGGUUUUCCCCUCUCCUUUAUAAAGCAUGUCCGCCAUUAAAAUUUGAACCUUGAGC